GCCGGGGUGGCGGAACUGGUAGACGCGCUGGACUCAAAAUCCAGUGAGGUUAAACUCGUGCGAGUUCGAUUCUCGCCCCCGGCACCA
rnacentral:tRNA from 1 species